GAUCAUCAGGAGUCAGAUGUGAAGGAGGAGGUUGAUCAUCAGGAGUCAGAUGUGAAGGAGGUUGAUCAUCAGGAGUCAGAUGUGAAGGAGGAGGUUGAUCAUCAUGAGUCAGAUGUGAAGGAUGAGGUUGAUCAUCAGGAGUCAGAUGUGAAGGAGGAGGUUGAUCAUCAGGAGUCAGAUGUGAAGCAGGAGGUUGAUCAUCAGGAGUCAGAUGUGAAGGAGGAGGUUGAUCAUCAGGAGUCAGAUGUGAAGGAGGAGGUUAAUGGCCACAUCAGUGAAUUGUACUUUUUUGAGAAAUGUCCUCUGGUCUGAUGAAACAAAUGUAGAACUGUUUGGCCAUAAUUACCAUCGUUAUGUUUGUAAGAAAAACGGGAGAGGCUUG
ensembl:lncRNA